rnacentral:rRNA from 1 species
AGGCCUAACACAUGCAAGUCGAGCGGAAACGACACCUUCGGGUGGGCGUCGAGCGGCGGACGGGUGAGUAACGCGUAGGAAUCUACCCAGUAGCGGGGGAUAGCCCGGGGAAACUCGGAUUAAUACCGCAUGAGCCCUACGGGGGAAAGGUGGCCUCUUCUUGAAAGCUACCGCUAUUGGAGGAGCCUGCGUUGGAUUAGCUUGUUGGUGGGGUAAUGGCCUACCAAGGCGACGAUCCAUAGCUGGUCUGAGAGGACGAUCAGCCACACUGGGACUGAGACACGGCCCAGACUCCUACGGGAGGCAGCAGUCGGGAAUAUUGGACAAUGGGCGCAAGCCUGAUCCAGUCAUGCCGCGUGUGUGAAGAAGGCCUUAGGGUUGUAAAGCACUUUCAGAAGUGAAGAAAAGCCGGAUGUGAAUAAUGUCUGGUCUUGACGUUAGCUUCAGAAGAAGCACCGGCUAACUCCGUGCCAGCAGCCGCGGUAAUACGGAGGGUGCGAACGUUAAUCGGAAUUACUGGGCGUAAAGCGCGCGUAGGCGGCUUGUUAAGUCAGAUGUGAAAGCCCCGGGCUCAACCUGGGAAUUGCAUUUGAAACUGG